GACAGAGGUGCCAAGCGUUAGGCGGAAUCACUGGGCUUAAAGCGUGUGUAGGCGGAAUUGUAAGUACCUUGUGAAAUCCCACGGCUCAACCGUGGAACUGCUCGGUAUACUGCUUUUCUUGAGCCACUUAGGGGUCGUCGGAACAAACGGUGGAGCGGUGAAAUGCGUAGACAUCGUUUGGAACGCCAAUGGUGAAAACAGACGACUGGGAGUGUGCUGACGCUGAGACACGAAAGCCAGGGGAGCGAACGGG
rnacentral:rRNA from 1 species